AACAAUUCUUCAAGUUUUGUGAACCUUCUAUGUUUCAUAGUUUAUGUAAUGAUUUCUAGUUAUCAUCUAAUAUGUUCAUGAAUAGAAAGAGUUAGGUUAGUCCUUUGUGAAGUAAGCCACUUUGGCCAUCGAGUUUUUUUUUUUUGGUUUCCCACAUGUAUCAUCGCACUGGAAACAAUCUUGUCCGAGUCGGAAACAUCUACAUGUAUGUGGGGCUAAUUCUCCCAACGAAUAUUUUUUUCAUCCAUAAGAUUCGAACCCG
rnacentral:lncRNA from 1 species